rnacentral:rRNA from 1 species
GACGAACGCUGGCGGCGUGCUUAACACAUGCAAGUCGAACGGUGAAGCCCUUCGGGGUGGAUCAGUGGCGAACGGGUGAGUAACACGUGAGCAACCUGCCCCUGGCUCUGGGACAACCACUGGAAACGGUGGCUAAUACCGGAUACGACCCGCCUCGGCAUCGAGUGUGGGUGGAAAGUUUUUCGGCUGGGGAUGGGCUCGCGGCCUAUCAGCUUGUUGGUGAGGUGAAGGCUCACCAAGGCGACGACGGGUAGCCGGCCUGAGAGGGCGACCGGCCACACUGGGACUGAGACACGGCCCAGACUCCUACGGGAGGCAGCAGUGGGGAAUAUUGCACAAUGGGCGAAAGCCUGAUGCAGCGACGCCGUGUGAGGGAUGACGGCCUUCGGGUUGUAAACCUCUUUCAGCUCCGAAGAAGCGAAAGUGACGGUAGGAGCAGAAGAAGCACCGGCUAACUACGUG